GGGGGCGUCUAAAAUAUUUUCUUCAAAAUUGGAAAAUGAUAACAACAGAUCAGUGGGUACUUUCUAUAAUAGAGGAAGGUUACAAACUGGAAUUUCUUCAAAGACCUGCAUGGACAGGCAUCAAGAAAACAAUACUAUCUCACAAAAACGCAGAUAUAUUUUUGGCAGAAAUAAAUUCUUUAUUAGAAAAAGAUGCUAUAGAAAAAGUAUUUUUUCCGGAAUCUC
rnacentral:lncRNA from 1 species